rnacentral:rRNA from 1 species
UAAACAUGCAGUCGAACGAGCGUAACCAGGAGCUUGCUCCUUUGACGUUAGCGGCGGAGGGAGCUAACACGUGGGCAACCUACCUUAUAGUUUGGGAUAACACGGGAAAGCGGGGCUAAUACCGAAUAAUCUGUUUCACCUCAUGGUGAAAUAUUGAAAGACGGUUUCGGCUGUCUUUAUAAGAAGGGGCCCGCGGCGCAUUAGCUAGUUGGUGAGGUAACGGCUCACCAAGGCGACGAUGCGUAGCCGACCUGACAGGGUGAUCGGCCACACUGGGACUGAGACACGGCCCAGACUCCUACGGGAGGCAGCAGUUGGGAAUCUUCCACAAUGGGCGAAAGCCUGAUGGAGCAACGCCGCGUGAGUGAAGAAGGAUUUCGGUUUCGUAAAACUCUGUUGUAAGGGAAGAUUUUAUUUUCAGUAGUAACUGGCUGUACCUUGACUGUGCCUGAUUAAAAAGCCCCCCGCUAAACUGCGUGCCAACAGCCGCGGUAAUACUUAUGUGGCAAGCGUUAUCAGGAAUAUGGGGCGUAAAGGGGGGGCCGUGGUUUCUUAAUUUUGAUGUGAAAAUCCCCCGGCUCCACCCCCGAGGGUUAUUGGUAACUGGGAAACUUGCAUGCAUAAG